AUUGAACGCUGGCGGCAUGCUUUACACAUGCAAGUCGAACGGUAACAGGCCGCAAGGUGCUGACGAGUGGCGGACGGGUGCGUAAUGCAUCGGAACGUGCCCAGUCGUGGGGGGUAACUACUCGAAAGAGUAGCUAAUACCGCAUACGAUCUAUGGAUGAAAGCGGGGGACCGUAAGGCCUCGAGCGAUUGGAGCGGCCGAUGUCAGAUUAGUUAGUUGGUGGGGUAAAGGCUCACCAAGCCAACGAUCUGUAGCUGGUCUGAGAGGACGACCAGCCACACUGGGACUGAGACACGGCCCAGACUCCUACGGGAGGCAGCAGUGGGGAAUUUUGGACAAUGGGCGCAAGCCUGAUCCAGCAAUGCCGCGUGCAGGAAGAAGGCCUUCGGGUUGUAAACUGCUUUUGUAAGGAACGAAACGGUUCUGGUUAAUACCCGGGGCUAAUGACGGUACCGUAAGAAUAAGCACCGGCUAACUACGUG
rnacentral:rRNA from 1 species